GGGCGCUUAGCUCAGCCGGUUAGAGCGCCUGCCUUACAAGCAGGAGGUCCGCGGUUCGAGCCCGCGAGCGCCCACCA
rnacentral:tRNA from 1 species